GUGGGGAAUAUUGGACAAUGGGCGCAAGCCUGAUCCAGCAAUGCCGCGUGGGUGAAGAAGGCCUUCGGGUUGUAAAGCCCUUUUGUACGGAAAGAAAUCCUGGUGGUUAAUACCCGCCGGGGAUGACGGUACCGUAAGAAUAAGCACCGGCUAACUUCGUGCCAGCAGCCGCGGUAAUACGAAGGGUGCAAGCGUUAAUCGGAAUUACUGGGCGUAAAGCGUGCGUAGGUGGUUUCUUAAGUCUGUCGUGAAAGCCCUGGGCUCAACCUGGGAAUGGCGAUGGAUACUGGGAGGCUAGAGUGCGGUAGAGGAUGGCGGAAUUCCCGGUGUAGCGGUGAAAUGCGUAGAGAUCGGGAGGAACAUCCGUGGCGAAGGCGGCCAUCUGGACCAGCACUGACACUGAGGCACGAAAGCGUGGGGAGCAAACAGGAUUAGAAACCCCAGUAGUCC
rnacentral:rRNA from 1 species